rnacentral:lncRNA from 1 species
UAUGUACUAGGGACCUCCAGUAAAAUUUUCGAGUCGAUCCAACGGUUAACGUAUCGGAACGAAGAGAAUGUUACUGGGGUAUUUGAGUAGGGAAAGCUGUGGUAUUGGAAUGUGUUUUGGGCAGAGUUUUCUGCCUCUGCCCUGUUUUCUUGGUUUAGGGUAGUUCAUGAUGUUUGGAUAUUGAAUUGCUUGGAUAUUGUGGAAGCUUGGAGGGGUU